GGUCAAGUCCUAUGCAACGUGCGUUUUCCGAACUCCGCCAGGUCCGGAAGGAAGCAACGGUAGGAAGAAUAGCGCGUGUGACAUGGGGUAGCUUGGCCUCU
rnacentral:SRP_RNA from 1 species